rnacentral:rRNA from 1 species
UACGGGGGGGGGCAAGCUUGUUCGGAAUUACUGGGCGUAAAGGGCUCGUAGGCGGCCAACUAAGUCCGACGUGAAAUCCCCAGGCUUAACCUGGGAACUGCGUCGGAUACUGGAUGGCUGAAUCCGGGAGAGGGAUGCGGAAUUCCAGGUGUAGCGGUGAAAUGCGUAGAUAUCUGGAGGAACACCGGUGGCGAAGGCGGCAG